CUUUGUUUUAUGGGGUGUGUGUUUGUGUGUGUGUGUGUAGUUUGUGUGUGUGUGUGUGUGUAUACACAGCUUAUGUAAAUUCUCCACAGAAUGGGUGUGUAGAACA